UGUGAUAUCCGUGGACAUGAUUGCAAUGUGUUAUGUGAAAAUAGAAUACAUGCAAAGGAUUUAUCUGGUCAGAAAAUCAAAGGAGUGUACACCGUCAUGAAAGCUUGCAUGGUAGAUGCCAGUUUCAACAAUAUUUUAACUUGACAUGGUUUGUGUCCCAUUUUAAUGUGUAAAGGGCUAUUAGUAUUUACAGAUAAUGUACUUUUAUGUAAUGUAUGUUAUAGUGCAGACUUUUCCGGUUAAAGUGACACUUCCAGCUGAUAUAUCUGCAGGUCUUGUAUCUAUGACUGGCUUGACUGGAGCUGAAUGCCAACACUGUCAUGGUCCAGUGUGCACACAGAGGAGAGACACACACACACACUGGGUCACACACACACACACCUUCAAACUCGAACACAAACACACAAACACACAAACACACAGCAUAGAUGCGCUGUACUGAGGGACCGUGGACGUCCCUGACAGUGAUAGUCACAACUGUUGCUUGAGCUUUAGCGGCGAGGCCCCUCAGAGCUUUCAACUGAGUCCUGACAGCCUACCUAUGAGACCUGAAACCACAACUGUCCCUUCAAACCGCUUCCUUCAGGAUAAAAAACUGACUUCUAGUCCAUUAUUUAAAAACUAGCAUUUAAUCACAACACUUAAUCAAACCCAGGGUGUCAGCAUAGCAGGUUUACGUCUAAGAUGAGAACAUGUUGAGGACAAACAAAAAUAUGCUGUAGCCUAUAUUUUAUAAUUAUAUUAUAAGAACUACAUUUUAAAUAAAUAUACACAGUGAGUUUAGACUGCAGUGACUGCACCAGGUAGAGUCAUGUAUGUAUUAUCGAUGUGUGAUAGGGUCAGCCCACGUAGACGUUCACUGGCUUACACCCACCUGUCAGUUAAUUGAGCGAUAAUGAGCUUGUAACUUCCGCCUAGAUAAACUAGGAUAUGCUCUCGCCGAUUGUUUGAAACGCACGUUGCCGUCACUGGUGGGAGUAAGACGCUAGCUGCACCUUGUCAGGAGUUUCAUGCCGGAACUUCACGUUAGGCAUUGCCCUGUUUGACUAUAGUAUUGCAAGAGGUCUCCCCUGGCUACUGGGGUUAACAAGGGACGCCAAGCUGACGUGGGUCCCUCCUCCCCAUGUCCACCUGGGUCCUUCCUUUGGUAUGACCGUCAAGGCCAAGAUCACAGCAGCAAUUGACACACAGUUGAUAGUCUGGCCACUGUUUUCCUCCUGUUUAUUUCUUUGAUGUAGUUCUGUGUGUAUUGACUGACCUAGUUGAAGCCACGUGUCUCGUUGUUACGUGUAGUUGUAUCAUUGUCACCCAUUUCUGUGGCCUGGGUGCCUAACCCAGGGCGAGUGGCAAGGUAACACUGUACUGGUACAUGUAUGGUACUAUUCUGCCCCUUAAGUUGCUGUGUGAACACCCCCCUAGUGGUUGAGUGGAGUUUGACAUGACCUGUAUAAGGUUGUUCUCUGUGUGAUUUAUCUUGACCUCACCGUUUUGCACUUUGCAGUAUUACCCUAGUGUGUGCAUGAGUGUGCUAUUCAUCACGUAUGGCUGAAUAGUGGUCAGAGGUACUCUAGCCGUGUUACCCUAGUUACUCUGGGUUGGCCCCCUGGGCCUAUGUUAUGUGUUUUUUUGUUUUCUUUUAAGUCUGAUGUAUGUAUCGUCAUCGUGUUUUGUUACUCCUGCCACGUAAAGAACACAAGAUCUGUAUUGAAAUAAAUUAUUUAUUGCUUAUAACAGCCUCGGUUUGAAUCCAUUUAAUUGGGUAACAUACCAAGUAUUGGGGAACUUACCAUAUGGUCACAGAUGCAGUCAGAUUUAUUGUUUCAUUGAGUUCAGUAUUACUCAUACUUUUUUUGUGUCACCAUCCAUCCGGAAGCAUUAGCCCAUUUAAACGCCCCACUCACUAAGCUGUUAUUUCAGGUCAUUAAAUGUUUCAUAAAACAGACACAGGAGAAUUCCCUCAUCAGUUUUUCAAUUAGAGUAUAUUCUCCUCUGAUUGGACAUUGCAGCCGUGCAUGUCAUCAACCCAUUGGCCUGGAUUCAUAUUCACCAGGACCUGGUCUGUCUGCCAAAUGCUCUCAUAAUAAAUUCUGAGGUUAAUGUCGGAAUUUGCAUAUUAAAUGAAGGCAUAGUUGUUUUCCCUCUUUCACUCUUACAUGUCUGUUUAAUAAACUGGGUGGAACUUUUGACAUGAAAUGGAUAUUUUUAAGCAAAUCUACUCCAGUUUGAAAUAAAUUACUGUGGUUAAUAUCCUUUUUUUUUCAAAUGUUUUGCGAGUUGUUUUGGACAAAAGCAUCUGACAGAUACCAUAACCAUAAACAUAAACCAUAAACCUCUGGCCUGUGGUCCCCACUCACC